GGAAGAGGCUUGUUGAGGAGGGGCGUUGGUCCAGGGCCAAGCUGUGUGAGUCCGGAGGUUAGGCGUUGGGAUGGGGUGGGGCUAUGAGCACCCGGUAGAGCUUGGGAAUAGGAAUUUGUGCUCUGAAGAAUCCUUGGGAACCGAUAGGAAUUGCGGGUGCUUGGAGUCUAGGCUGGGUGUGAGUGCUGACCUGCGUGGGUGGAGCUGUAGGGAUACUAGGGUGGAGCUUUGGAUCCCAACUUAACUUGGUCCGGAUCUGCUUAAGGAAAAGGAAGGAUUAUGUAGGCUGAAGUGGAAGUGGUGGGCCAAACUGUCAGUACUCAGCAAAGCAGUCAGGGCCUCAAAAGUGCCAACCAGGGCUGUGUGUGAUGAGAUUUUGUUGACGGAGCUGAGCUUUGGAUGCUGGCCUUACUUGCUGGAGGGCUAUGGGAGAAGGAAGGCAUGCCUGUGCAUGGGAGCCGAAUUAGUGAUGGGCAGUGCUAUGUAAGCUGAGGUGGAGGUUGAACAUGGUUUAGUGAUUGGUGACCUAUGAAGUAGGAACAGAGCUUUGGAUAGUGACAUAAUAAAAGCCCAGAAACUCUGAAAGAGGACAGGGCCAUGUAGAUAGGACCAGAUUGUGGGUUGUGGAUGGCGCUGUUAGUGCCGACUUGGGUCUCUAAAGUGCUGGCCAGGACUGUGAAUUGUAAGUGUGACAGCAGGACUGAGCUUUAAAUCCUGAUAUAAUGUGAUAGAAGGCCAGUGAAGGAAUAGGACAUGGCUGUGUGUGCUGACAUAGGAGUGCAGACUGUGUAUGCUGCACAGGUUGGGUGCACUGCUGUGAAUAGUGAUGUACUAAGUGAGGGAGGAGGAGUCUGGCCAUUUGUGAUGAUGUAGCAGUGGCGGGUAGGGCGCUGCUUUCUAGGUUAGCAGUGGUGGGUAGUACUGUGUAUGUUUAUGUCUGAUGGUGGGCAGGACUGUGAGUACUGUGGUUGAAGUGGUGGGCAGUGCUGUGUGUAUGGAGGUAGGAGAGGUAGGUGGUGUUGCAAGUGUUGCCCUGGGCACUUAGGGUUUACAGAGUACUGGGAAAGGGCCAUAGGUAUUAAUUUAUGGAAGGGGAGGGAGACCUUUGAAUACUGACGUACUGUGACAGAGGAUCACUGGAGAGGGAAGAGCAAGACUGUAUGCUGAAGUAAGAGUGGUGGGCUUAGCUGUGAAGUGCUGACCUAGGUGAGCUGUGUUCAAGAGUAAUGGGGAUGCUUGUCAAUGGUAAGGUAUGAAGUGGAGGUGGAACUUUGGAUAUUAACACAUAUGAUGUGAUGCAGGACCACUGAAGGGCAGAAAAAUGCAUGCUGAAGUGGGGAGAUUGGUGAAGUAUGAAAUAGAGCUUUAAAUACUGUCAUAAUAAAGUUCAGACUGCUGAUGUAGGGCUGGGUGUUGAGUGCUCACCUCCGUGGAUGAGUCAAUGGGAGCAAUGAUGCAUGAAGUAGGGAGAGAGCAGUGAAUUCUAACCUAAUAUGGAGUGAUGGUAAUGAAGAAGCAGGGCUGAGGGUAUUGAGGAUAGACCUAGAGGCAGAGAUAAAGGAAAAGCAGGGUGGGCCUAUGAGUGCUGUGGUCUAUCUGGGAUGGGGAGUGGGCUACUGGAAGAGGAAGGUGAGGCUUCUAGUGGCAGAGUAAAUGGGAGAGGAAGACCUUUAGGGCAGACCCAUAGGUUAUAAGGUAAGGCAUUUAGAGCAGGACUAUGAGAGCUGAGGCAGGAAUGUGAGCGGUGUCCUAUGCGUUGCUGGAUAGAUGUAGGUGGGUCUUGGGAGGAGCAGGACAGGGCAGAGCUGGGCAGGGCAGGGCAGGGCAGGGCAGGGACCUUUUAAGUACAGUCAGAGAGGCUUGUAGGUGGAAUUGGAAGGAGGCACUCAGAGAUUGUGAGACAUAUCCUUAAGUAAGAGAGGCAAAAUGAAAAGGAAAGUGUGCCUUAGGGACCUAAUCAUAUCGUGAGGGUGAUCUCCAGGGGACACCAUAGAGGACAUGAAUGCUGCAAAAAGGCCAGAAACUUUUGUCUGGGACCCAGGUGUACUUAGAUGGAGUCUUAAAGGUGCACUUCCUAAGAGAUGCUUCCAUCAGCUCCUUGUGCAUUAGUCACCUGUCUGGAUGAUAAAUACAUCCAUGGCAAAUGCUUAGAGGGCAUCUUGAGAUCUGUUAUCACUGGUGCAUGCACAGACUGAUGCAGGAGAGCUUGUCUUCCAGCAUGAAGACACACCACAGCGUGAGAUCAGCAGGCGGGCCUGUCCUCUUAGAUGCUCCCUGCAGUGCCAUCUGCUGGUCCAGUCCUCCAACUUCACUGGGAUCUAAGAUGAAGGGUGACCAGAAGCAGAGGCAGUGAGCACCUUGCAUGGUGGAAGUUCUGUCAUGCUGAAGGAGCAAGUGUGGAGGUG